UUUUUAUUAUAGUUGUGUGAAAAUUAUUAGAAUUGAGCGUAUUUUACUUUUUUGGAAUUAUGAUUAUAAUUCUCAAGUGUUUAACUUAAGGUAAAAAAAAAAAAAUGUCAUCGAAUAAAAAAUGUUUUAAGACCUCAAGCAUUGGCGCCUCUUUAUGGGAUUCAGAAUUUGGUAUUUGCGGCAAUUGCCCCCCGAACCUGCCCACCACUCAAAACACGAGUACAUCAUUGAGAGGAGGAGAACUGAGAAGAAGUCAAGAAGUGUGUCAUAUUACUACCUGCAGGUUAUAUAGAGACUGGAGCAAAAGCAGCAACAUUGAAUUGAUUGAAAAUAAUUGCGAAAUGCCACUAUAUGACACGAUGUAUUAUUUUGUACCCCAAAAAAAAUGAUAUGAUUGUGGCCGAAAUUUAGUGAAUUGUUGUGCAACGUAGUCUACAGAGCCCAUUGAUUAUCAAUUUUAUGAUCGGCUUAUCGUCCGGGCGUAACAAAUGAGUAGCGACUACACAAUAUUAAUAAUAAUGAUAAGUGAUCAUUAUUUAUACAUAAUAACCAUUCUAUUAAGCUGUGUUUCUGCUGUCGUUUAAACUGGUAUUUAUUUGUGUUAACAAUAAUUAACUCUUAAUCACGUUCAGAUGAAAUUUAAUUAUUUGAGUAGAAAUCAAUAACAUAAUUAAAAGCAACACUAAACAAUAUUAAUUUAAGUACCUAGUUAAUAAUUUAACGUGUUAUACACGUGUAUUAAUAUUUAUAACUGCAGUAUUUUACUAAAAUUAACUAUAAAAUACUUUAAAUUUAUAUUUAAUAAGCUCAAAAUGUCUAAAUCAUUAAAGUAGUAUUUAUAAAAUAAGUAAUAUUUGUUCACGAUUAUAUUUUUAAAAAGGUAAUACGGAUAAGAACCGUUCAUAAUCGUGUAUCGCGGAUUGAAAUGGUUAUCAAAUCCAGGUAGUCAAUGUUUUUAUCUAUUGAAUUAUUUUCCUCGAUAUUUAUUUUAUAAAUACGAUUGAUUAUAAAAAUUUUUAGAGCAAGCAACACAAAUAGAACAAUAAAUUAUACAUUGGUAACAACGUUCAUGUGAUUGAAAAUUUAAGUUAAUGCAGUUAUAGUAAAAUAAUAUAACAAUAUAAUGUAUUAUAUUAAUAUGUUUUUGAAUUAUAUAGGUAACUCAAAAGCAACGGUGAACACUUCAAAUUUGAAGAUUUGCUUGUGUUGGCUUUCAGUUCACAUGUAUCUAUCAUUGUGUAUAAUUGUCCCAGACGCACAUAUUUGUUCGUUUUUAAUUUUAUGAUGAUUAUUGUGAAACAUAAAAGUAUUAUGUUUUAUGUCUUUCACUAAACGAUUCGAAUAAAAUGAUUAAACCAAAUUGCUGUAUUGCAACUUGCGAGUCGCAAACCUUAGUGUACAGUGAAUAAUAAUAAUAAAUCAAUAAUAAUAUUUUAUACAGUACUGUGGGACGUUGGCAUGUGUCAUCAACCCCGGAGGAUUGCGAGUUGGUUCGCUGACAUACCUACUUAUAAUAUAAGACACGUUCAUUGCUAUUAUUGUUUUAUUUCAUAUCGAUUUGAGACGAAAGUCAUCGUUUUGACCGUAACCACUAAUGUUCUUGGAGGAUACAACGCCCUCGUGCUACCUAUAUACGAGCUAUACUGAAACAAGGGGAUGAAGUAAAUAUACGAAUAAUUGAUCUAAUUUAAUGUAAUUGUACCGUUGCCGUGGAAAUGACGAGGAAAAUCAAACGACCUUUUAUAACUACUUAAUUAUUUUUGCGUCAAGUACAUUCCACUUGCAGUAAUAGUAUGGCGUGGAUGUAAUUAUUUCCGAUACGAUAGCAACGAAAUUCAGUAUCUCAGUAACGUGGCAUUAAAUGAUAUUAUAGUUGUGGAUUCAGUAUAUUGUAGGCACUUUUGAGCUGAGAGUAUAUUAUCGUCGAGAAACGAACUACGCAAACUGUCUUAAUCGUAAUUCUUAACAACUAUAACAACCCACAAGUGAAGAUCGACAUCCUGUGCUUUCCGAUAAAAUACUACCGUGGUAGCUAGUUUUAUUCCCGACAUACAACGUGUAGGUUUGUAUAACAUUCGUGUAACUGUCUGUUAUAUGUAUUAAGCUCAGGAAUUAAAUUGUGUAGAGUGGAUAGUAAUACAGAUAAUACAUUUGGUAGGUCAGAUAAUACAUUUGGUUGAAACAUUUUUAUUAGCUGAAAAGCUCUUUAAAAAAUAUAUAGGUUACUUCCUUUAGGAAUUCUGAUGUUAACGUUUGAAGUGUGAUUUUGUCUUCUACAUUUUAAGUAUAUACUAAAUGCUAAAUGUAUAACCAGUUAAAUUGCCACAAAAAGUAGGGCAAGUAUCAGUUGCGUAUUUGCGGGGGGAGAGGAAGGAGAUAUAUCUCCCUCUUGACCUUUUUUUUAGCUUAUAUCACUGUAUUAGCUUGUAUAAAAAGAUUAAAAACAUAUUUAAGAAAUUCUAUAUGAAGGAGGUAAAUAUUCUCCAUUCAUUAAUGAAAUAUUUGUUACAUUUAUUAUGUAUUUAAAUUUUGAAUAUUGUUUUAAUUGUAGUCCAGAUUGAAUGGACUUACAAAGCUUUAUAUUCAUAACAACAUAAGAUUGGAUGUUGAAGAAAUUAUUGACAAAAUAGAUAAAAAAAAACCUAGAA